rnacentral:rRNA from 1 species
UUGGAAGUAAAAGUCGUAACAAGGUUUCCGUAGGUGAACCUGCGGAAGGAUCAUUACCGAGUGAGGGCCCUCUGGGUCCAACCUCCCACCCGUGUUUAUUUUACCUUGUUGCUUCGGCGGGCCCGCCUUAACUGGCCGCCGGGGGGCUCACGCCCCCGGGCCCGCGCCCGCCGAAGACACCCUCGAACUCUGUCUGAAGAUUGAAGUCUGAGUGAAAAUAUAAAUUAUUUAAAACUUUCAACAACGGAUCUCUUGGUUCCGGCAUCGAUGAAGAACGCAGCGAAAUGCGAUACGUAAUGUGAAUUGCAAAUUCAGUGAAUCAUCGAGUCUUUGAACGCACAUUGCGCCCCCUGGUAUUCCGGGGGGCAUGCCUGUCCGAGCGUCAUUGCUGCCCUCAAGCCCGGCUUGUGUGUUGGGCCCCGUCCUCCGAUUUCCGGGGGACGGGCCCGAAAGGCAGCGGCGGCACCGCGUCCGGUCCUCGAGCGUAUGGGGCUUUGUCACCCGCUCUGUAGGCCCGGCCGGCGCUUGCCGAUCAACCCAAAUUUUUAUCCAGGUUGACCUCGGAUCAGGUAGGGAUACCCGCUGAACUUAAGCAUAUCAAUAA